AGAUUGAACGCUGGCGGCAGGCCUAACACAUGCAAGUCGAGCGGCAGCACGGGUACUUGUACCUGGUGGCGAGCGGCGGACGGGUGAGUAAUGCCUAGGAAUCUGCCUGAUAGUGGGGGAUAACGCUCGGAAACGGACGCUAAUACCGCAUACGUCCUACGGGAGAAAGCAGGGGACCUUCGGGCCUUGCGCUAUCAGAUGAGCCUAGGUCGGAUUAGCUAGGUUGGUGGGUAAUGGCUCACCAAGGCGACGAUCCGUAACUGGUCUGAGAGGAUCGAUCAGUCACACUGGAACUGACGACACGGUCCAGACUCCUACGGGAGGCAGCAGUGGGAAUAGUGGACAAGUGGGACAAAGCCUGAUCCGAAGCCAAGUCGCCGCGUGGUCGAGUAAGACGUACGUUCGG
rnacentral:rRNA from 1 species